rnacentral:rRNA from 1 species
CCUACGGGAGGCUGCAGUGAGGAAUAUUGGUCAAUGGGCGUAAGCCUGAACCAGCCAAGUCGCGUGAGGGAUGAAGGUUCUAUGGAUCGUAAACCUCUUUUAUCAGGGAAUAAAGUGUGGGACGUGUCCCGUCUUGUAUUUACCUUAUGAAUAAGGAUCGGUAAACUCCGUGCCAGCAGCCGCGGAAAUACGGAGGAUCCGAGCGUUAUCCGGUUUUUUUGGGUUUAAAGGGUGCGUAGGCGGCCUUUUAAGGCAUCGGUGAAAGUCGGUGGCUAAACCAUAGAAUUGCCAUUGAAACUGGGAGGCUUGAGUAUGUUUGAGGCAGGCGGAAUGCGUGGUGUAGCGGUGAAAUGCAUAGAUAUCACGCAGAACCCCGAUUGCGAAGGCAGCAUGCCAAGCCAUGACUGACGCUGAUGCACGAAAGCGUGGGGAUCAAACAGGAUUAGAUACCCGUGUAGUC